rnacentral:rRNA from 1 species
AUUGAACGCUGGCGGCAUGCCUUACACAUGCAAGUCGAACGGCAGCGGGCCCUUCGGGGUGCCGGCGAGUGGCGAACGGGUGAGUAAUGCAUCGGAACGUACCCGGGAGAGGGGGAUAACCGGCCGAAAGGCUGGCUAAUACCGCAUGAAAUCGGAAGAGCAAAGCGGGGGACCUUCGGGCCUCGCGCUCUCGGAGCGGCCGAUGUCCGAUUAGGCUAGUUGGUGGGGUAAAGGCCCACCAAGGCGACGAUCGGUAGCGGGUCUGAGAGGACGAUCCGCCACACUGGGACUGAGACACGGCCCAGACUCCUACGGGAGGCAGCAGUGGGGAAUCUUGGACAAUGGGCGCAAGCCUGAUCCAGCAAUGCCGCGUGGGUGAAGAAGGCCUUCGGGUUGUAAAGCCCUUUCGGCGGGGAAGAAAUCGGUCAGGCGAAUAGUCUGGCCGGAUGACGGUACCCGCAGAAGAAGCACCGGCUAACUACGUG